rnacentral:rRNA from 1 species
UACGUAGGGUGCAGGCGUUAAUCGGAAUUACUGGGCGUAAAGCGUGCGCAGGCGGUCUUUUAAGUCAGAUGUGAAAUCCCCGGGCUUAACCUGGGAACUGCGUUUGAAACUGGAAGGCUAGAGUGUGGCAGAGGGGGGGUGGAAUUCCACGUGUAGCAGUGAAAUGCGUAGAUAUGUGGAGGAACACCGAUGGCGAAGGCAGCCCCCUGGGCUAACACUGACGCUCAUGCACGAAAGCGUGGGGAGCAAACAGG